GUGAAUCAUCGAAUCUUUGAACGCACAUUGCGCCCUCUGGUAUUCCGGAGGGCAUGCCUGUUUGAGUGUCAUUAAUCUCUCACAAGACCUUCUGGUCUUGUCGAUGUUGGGAGCUGCGACCCCCCAGGGGGACGCUCUCCUCAAAUGCAUUGGUGCGGCCCGCCGCCCGGUUACACAACGUUCUAGGUUCGUCCAACUCGUUGAAGCCGGCGCAAAUCUGGCGCUGCACCUUAAGCCCGCCCUGAGCCUCGAGCUCCUGGCAUAACUUCAUUUAUUGACCUCAGAUCAGGUAGGAAUACGCGCUGAACUUAA
rnacentral:rRNA from 1 species